rnacentral:rRNA from 1 species
UACGGGCAGGCAGCAGUGAGGAAUAUUGCACAAUCCCNUUUAAACUCUGAUGCAGCGACGCCGCGUGGGUGAAGAAGGCNUUCGGGAUGUAAAGCCCUAUCAGCAGGGAAGAUAAUGACGGUACCUGACUAAGAAGCCCCGGCUAACUACGUGCCAGCAGCCGCGGUAAU